AGCACAGUAAGAGCUUGCUCUUAUGGGUGGCGAGUGGCGGACGGGUGAGGAAUACAUCGGAAUCUACUUUUUCGUGGGGGAUAACGUAGGGAAACUUACGCUAAUACCGCAUACGACCUACGGGUGAAAGCAGGGGAUCUUCGGACCUUGCGCGAUUGAAUGAGCCGAUGUCGGAUUAGCUAGUUGGCGGGGUAAAGGCCCACCAAGGCGACGAUCCGUAGCUGGUCUGAGAGGAUGAUCAGCCACACUGGAACUGAGACACGGUCCAGACUCCUACGGGAGGCAGCAGUGGGGAAUAUUGGACAAUGGGCGCAAGCCUGAUCCAGCCAUACCGCGU
rnacentral:rRNA from 2 species